rnacentral:misc_RNA from 1 species
GAUGAAGAACGUAGCGAAAUGCGAUAAGUAAUGUGAAUUGCAGAAUUCAGUGAAUCAUCGAAUCUUUGAACGCACAUUGCGCCCCUUGGUAUUCCGAGGGGCAUGCCUGUUCGAGCGUCAUUAUAACCCUCAAGCUCAGCUUGGUGUUGGGGCCUGCUGCACUGGCAGCCCUUAAAAUCAGUGGCGGCGCCAUCUGGCUCUAAGCGUAGUAAUUCUUCUCGCUAUGGAGUCCUGGUGGAUGCUUGCCAUCAACCACCAAUUUUUCUACGGUUGACCUCGGAUCAGGUAGGGAUACCCGCUGAACUUAAGCAUAUCAAUAAGCGGAGGA